CUGAGCCUCAGUUUUGGCGUUUUCAUGAGUCUUAAUUACGAAUGAAAUUCGGCACUUUGAAGCCAAACUCGGAAAGAAGCGGAAACAGAAUUGAAUGAGCUGAUAUAGAAUUAGACAGGAAAAACAUAUUAUGAGAAUACAUUAUUACAGUACAGACCAUUGAUGCUGGAAGUGAGUGGAUAGUGUUACCGGAGACUCAGGGAUCCAGAAAAUAGAUCCAUAAAUUGUACAGUGUAUUCAUGAAAGUGGAUAAAAUAAAUGUUCAAUCCAAGAGUAACAUUCUUUGUUUGUCUGUUAGCAUUUUUUAUUGAUGUAAAUCUAAUAACUAUCAAUUUUUAGCAUGCAGAUUCAUAAUCAUUAGAUAGUAGAAGAAUCUGAAACAUAUCUUUAUAUUCUGCAUUUUGAAGUAUCAUAAUUAAAACAAGGUCAAUAUCAAAUGAUCAAUCAAUUAAUUUCAAAACUGACA